CUUGAGUUUCAGCCAUGGAUCUACUAACUGAGCUCUGAUACCAUGUGAAACACACAAGAAUGGAAAAAGAUGAAACUGUAACUUCAAUCUUUCAUUCAACUCUCCAAACCCUAAUACAUCGCUAGCCUCUUAUAUACAUGAGGAGGCACAAGGGUACAUCUUAACCUAAAGCUUAAGUUAGCACACGCCAGCAUCAAGUAGCUGGAAUCGGUUCACGGUAAGGAUCUCUGAUCUCCUCUGAGCUGGCUUCUCCGUACACAGAAGACGACAAGAGCUCAAGUUCUUCCUUUUACUCAGAACUGUAUCAAUGGCUAGUAUUGAGACUUCAGUGGGCUUAACGGGCUUGUCAACAUGUUUCUCAAUCGGCCCAGAUGCCAUUACGAAACCUUCUGUACCAGCUGGAGUCUUUGAGGAAGAUAGAC
rnacentral:lncRNA from 1 species